UGGGGAAUUUUGGACAAUGGGCGAAAGCCUGAUCCAGCAAUGCCGCGUGUGUGAAGAAGGCCUUCGGGUUGUAAAGCACUUUUGUCCGGAAAGAAAUCCUUGGCUCUAAUACAGUCGGGGGAUGACGGUACCGGAAGAAUAAGCACCGGCUAACUACGUGCCAGCAGCCGCGGUAAUACGUAGGGUGCAAGCGUUAAUCGGAAUUACUGGGCGUAAAGCGUGCGCAGGCGGUUUGCUAAGACCGAUGUGAAAUCCCCGGGCUCAACCUGGGAACUGCAUUGGUGACUGGCAGGCUAGAGUAUGGCAGAGGGGGGUAGAAUUCCACGUGUAGCAGUGAAAUGCGUAGAGAUGUGGAGGAAUACCGAUGGCGAAGGCAGCCCCCUGGGCCAAUACUGACGCUCAUGCACGAAAGCGUGGGGGAGCAAACAGGAUUAGAUACCCUGGUAGUCCACGCCCUAAACGAUGUCAACUAGUUGUUGGGGAUUCAUUUCCUUAGUAACGUAGCUAACGCGUGAAGUUGACCGCCUGGGGGAGUACGGUCGCAAGAUUAAAACUCAAAUGAAUUGACGGGG
rnacentral:rRNA from 1 species